AUGCAAGUCGAACGGAAACGAUGGGAGCUUGCUCCCAGGCGUCGAGUGGCGGACGGGUGAGUAAUGCAUAGGAAUCUACCCAGUAGCGGGGGACAACUUGGGGAAACUCAAGCUAAUACCGCAUACGCCCUACGGGGGAAAGCGGGGGACCUUCGGGCCUCGCACUAUUGGAUGAGCCUAUGUCUGAUUAGCUUGUUGGUAGGGUAACGGCCUACCAAGGCGACGAUCAGUAGCUGGUCUGAGAGGACGAUCAGCCACACUGGGACUGAGACACGGCCCAGACUCCUACGGGAGGCAGCAGUGGGGAAUAUUGCACAAUGGGCGAAAGCCUGAUGCAGCAAUGCCGCGUGUGUGAAGAAGGCCUGCGGGUUGUAAAGCACUUUCAGUAGGGAGGAAAUGGCAGAAGGUUAAUAACCUUUUGUUUUGACGUUACCUACAGAAGAAGCACCGGCUAACUCUGUGCCAGCAGCCGCGGUAAUACAGAGGGUGCAAGCGUUAAUCGGAAUUACUGGGCGUAAAGCGCGCGUAGGCGGCCUGGUCAGUCGGAUGUGAAAGCCCCGGGUUUAACCUGGGAAUUGCAUUCGAUACUGCCAGGCUAGAGUGUAGUAGAGGGAAGUGGAAUUCCGGGUGUAGCGGUGAAAUGCGUAGAUAUCCGGAGGAACAUCAGUGGCGAAGGCGACUUCCUGGACUAACACUGACGCUGAGGUGCGAAAGCGUGGGGAGCAA
rnacentral:rRNA from 1 species